CAAUGUGAACGUUACCAAACUGUUGCCUCGGCGGGAUCUCUGCCCCGGGUGCGUCGCAGCCCCGGACCAAGGCGCCCGCCGGAGGACCAACCUAAAACUCUUAUUGUAUACCCCCUCGCGGGUUUUUUUUAUAAUCUGAGCCUUCUCGGCGCCUCUCGUAGGCGUUUCGAAAAUGAAUCAAAACUUUCAACAACGGAUCUCUUGGUUCUGGCAUCGAUGAAGAACGCAGCGAAAUGCGAUAAGUAAUGUGAAUUGCAGAAUUCAGUGAAUCAUCGAAUCUUUGAACGCACAUUGCGCCCGCCAGUAUUCUGGCGGGCAUGCCUGUCCGAGCGUCAUUUCAACCCUCGAACCCCUCCGGGGGGUCGGCGUUGGGGAUCGGCCCUCCCUCUGCGGGUGGCCGUCUCCGAAAUACAGUGGCGGUCUCGCCGCAGCCUCUCCUGCGCAGUAGUUUGCACACUCGCAUCGGGAGCGCGGCGCGUCCACAGCCGUUAAACACCCAACUUCUGAAAUGUUGACCUCGGAUCAGGUAGGAAUACCCGCUGAACUUAAGCAUAUCAAUAAGCGGAGGAAAAGAAACCAACAGGGAUUGCCCCAGUAACGGCGAGUGAAGCGGCAACAGCUCAAAUUUGAAAUCUGGUCCCUAGGGCCCGAGUUGUAAUUUGUAGAGGAUGCUUUUGGUGAGGUGCCGCCCGAGUUCCCUGGAACGGGACGCCACAGAGGGUGAGAGCCCCGUCUGGCUGGCCGCCGAGCCUCUGUAAAGCUCCUUCGACGAGUCGAGUAGUUUGGGAAUGCUGCUCAAAAUGGGAAGGUAUAUGUCUUCUAAAGCUAAAUAUUGGCCAGAGACCGAUAGCGCACAAGUAGAGUGAUCGAAAGAUGAAAAGCACCUUGAAAAGAGGGUUAAAUAGUACGUGAAAUUGUUGAAAGGGAAGCGCUUGUGACCAGACUUGGGCGCGGCGGAUCCAUCCGGGGGUUCUCUCCGGUGCACUUCGCCGCGUCUAGGCCAGCAUCAGUUCGUCCCCGGGGGGAAAAAGGUUUCGGGAACGUGCUCCCUCCCGGGAAGGGUUAAAGCCCGUUGCAAAAAACCCUGCGGGGGGACUGAG
rnacentral:sRNA from 1 species